rnacentral:sRNA from 1 species
GGAAGAGGCUCUGGGCUGGCACAUGUUGAUGAUGACAGCCUUUUCAUCUAUGACUGCAGUGCUGCAGAAAAGAAGUCACAAGAAAAUAAAGGGGAGGACGCGCCCUUGGACCAGGGGAGCGGUGCGAUUCUGGCGUCCACCUUCUCCAAGUCUGGCAGCUAUUUUGCUUUAACCGAUGACAGACCGUGGCAAGGAGGUGUACAGCCCUGACCUUCACAGCCUCGGAGGAGAAGGUCUUGGUGGCCGACAAGUCUGGAGACGUCUACUCCUUUUCGGUGCUGGAGCCACACAGGUGUGGCCGUCUAGAGCUGGGGCACCUGUCUAUGCUGUUAGAUGUGGCUGUGAGUCCUGACGACUGCUUCAUCCUCACUGCCGACCGGGACGAGAAGAUCCGAGUCAGCUGGGCGGCGGCGCCCCACAGCAUCGAGUCCUUCUGCUUGGGGCACACAGAGUUUGUGAGCCGCAUCUCCCUGGUGCCAACUCAGCCCGGGCUGCUUCUGUCCUCCUCUGGGGAUGGCACCCUGAGGCUCUGGGAGUACAGGAGCGGCCGCCAGCUGCACUGCUGUCACCUGGCCAGUCUGCAGGAGCUGGUGGACCCCCAGGCCCCCC